AUUGAACGCUGGCGGCAGUCCUAACACAUGCAAGUCGAGCGAGCGGCGGACGGGUGAGUAAUGUAUGGGGACUGCCCGAUAGAGGGGGCUAACUCCUGGAAACGGUGGCUAAUACCGAAUACUGUCGGAUAACCCAUAUGGGAUUAGCUAGUAGGUAAGGUAAUGGCUUACCUAGGCGACGAUCCCUAGCUGGUCUGAGAGGAUGAUCAGCCACACUGGGACUGAGACACGGCCCAGACUCCUACGGAGGCAGCAGUGGGGAAUAUUGCACAAUGGGCGCAAGCCUGAUGCAGCCAUGCCGCGUGUAUGAAGAAGGCCCUAGGGUUGUAAAGUACGUUCAGUCGGGAGGAGUGACCGACAGAAGAAGCACCGGCUAACUCCGUGCCAGCAGCCGCGGUAAUUC
rnacentral:rRNA from 1 species